UGUCAAGCUACAAAGCUUAGUCUUUUG
rnacentral:rRNA from 1 species